CUGGGGCGCUGGUCGGUGCGCGGGCUGGGACGCUAAGUCAUGAGGGAUUAAACUGGGAAACCUGGCGUGGGUCCAGGCGCCUUCCAGGAGGCAUCCGGCGCGGCCCGGACGUGUUUCUACCCGGAACCACCUCCUCCAGGCCGGGGUGCCGUUAACGGGGCUAUACAAAGAGUCUGGUGGGUGACUGUGGGCCUCAUCCCUAUCCCGGGGUCUGAUAGGGAAGACUCUCGGGCCCCGCAGGGAAUAUCUGGCUAGUGCACCCUUGGCGGGCGCGCCCCUCUCCCUCCCUGGGCGACGCCCGCCCUCUCAUCCCGCCCAAUCCGUUUUGCAAAGUCGGCCAAAACAAAAACAAACUUGGAGCGCUAAUAGACACUGUUAUUGCCCACUCUGAACUCGUCAACUGAGAAGGAAUGAGAUGGUUUAUGCUGUGAAUAAAAUACAGUUGUGCUCUGAUGUAAAUCCCCUCAUCCUGGAGCAGCUGAGCAAAGUCUAAGGCAGGAAGAACCUUCAAGCAGGUCAUGGCUUGCAGGCUCAACUCUGCCUAGCAGUGGCAAGGGCCAGGACCAGUGACUGAAGCAACAAACUGCCAGAUGACUGCAGCUCAAGCCAAUGCACAAAGCCACUGCACCAAGAGAGCAAAUUCUUACAUUUCCAAGUGUGUUAAUUUCUCCCCAUCAAGGAAAACAGCUAAGGCAAUGUGUUGAUAUUUUCUUUGACCUAGUCAUCAGGAGUCACAUAGACAUACAGCACUUAAGAAGUGGCUGUGACUAAAGGCACAUCUCAUUCAUUUACAACCCUUGUAAUCCCAACCUUUGUCUGAUGCACAAACCCUUCCCUAGUUCUCCCCACCACCACCACUGCACCUCCAAGUGGGGACAACGAAUUGUUUCAUUUGCAUGUGGUUUUUCUCAUCAAAAAUAUCAUUAACAUGAGACAGCCCCAAACCAAGGAAACCAGAAGUGGGGUUUGUGUUUGGUCUUACUGAGAGCUUUCCCUACUUGACCAGACCCCAGCAUUGUUCUAGAUUUGUCUCUUGUGGGCUACAGGAAUACAAACAUUUUGUAGUUUCCUCUUCUUUGAUUUCUUAAUGGCUUGAUGAGCCACACAUGUUUCUCUAAAUGCACUGAUUUAAAUUCACACAA
rnacentral:lncRNA from 1 species